AUUGAACGCUGGCGGCAUGCCUUACACAUGCAAGUCGAACGGCAGCACGGACUUCGGUCUGGUGGCGAGUGGCGAACGGGUGAGUAAUACAUCGGAACGUGCCUAGUAGUGGGGGAUAACUACUCGAAAGAGUGGCUAAUACCGCAUGAGAUCUAUGGAUGAAAGCAGGGGACCUUAGGGCCUUGUGCUACUGGAGCGGCCGAUGGCAGAUUAGGUAGUUGGUGGGAUAAAAGCUUACCAAGCCGACGAUCUGUAGCUGGUCUGAGAGGACGAUCAGCCACACUGGGACUGAGACACGGCCCAGACUCCUACGGGAGGCAGCAGUGGGGAAUAUUGGACAAUGGGCGCAAGCCUGAUCCAGCCAUACCGCGUGGGUGAAGAAGG
rnacentral:rRNA from 1 species